rnacentral:rRNA from 1 species
CCUACGGGAGGCAGCAGUGGGGGAUAUUGCACAAUGGGGGGAACCCUGAUGCAGCGACGCCGCGUGGGUGAAGAAGCGCCUCGGCGCGUAAAGCCCUGUCAGCAGGGAAGAAAAUGACGGUAACUGAAGAAGAAGCCCCGGCUAACUACGGGCCAGCAGCCGCGGGAAUACGUAGGGGGCAAGCGUUUGCCGGAUUUACUGGGUGUAAAGGGGCCGCAGACGGCGAUGCAAGCACGGAGUGAAAGCCCGGGGCCCAACCCCGGGACUGCCCUUGGAACUGCGUGGCUGGAGUGCAGGAGGGGCAGGCGGAAUUCCUGGUGUAGCGGUGAAAUGCGUAGAUAUCAGGAGGAACACCGGUGGCGAAGGCGGCCUGCUGGACUGCAACUGACGUUGAGGCCCGAAAGCGUGGGGAGCAAACAGGAUUAGAUACCCCGGUAGUC